AACGAACGCUGGCGGCAUGCCUAACACAUGCCAGUCGAACGAGACCUUCGGGUCUAGUGGCGCACGGGUGCGUAACGCGUGGGAACCUGCCCUUAGGUUCGGAAUAACUCCCCGAAAGGGGUGCUAAUACCGGAUAAUGUCUUCGGACCAAAGAUUUAUCGCCUUUGGAUGGGCCCGCGUUGGAUUAGCUAGUUGGUAGGGUAAUAGCCUACCAAGGCGACGAUCCAUAGCUGGUCUGAGAGGAUGAUCAGCCACACUGGGACUGAGACACGGCCCAGACUCCUACGGGAGGCAGCAGUGGGGAAUAUUGGACAGUGGGCGAAAGCCUGAUCCAGCAAUGCCGCGUGAGUGAUGAAGGCCUUAGGGUUGUAAAGCUCUUUUACCCGGGAUGAUAAUGACAGUACCGGGAGAAUAAGCUCCGGCUAACUCCGUG
rnacentral:rRNA from 1 species